UGAAAGGGAGAACACCGGGUCCAUCAUC
rnacentral:piRNA from 1 species